rnacentral:rRNA from 1 species
CAUGUUCUCUUCGGAGCACUGGAGACAGGUGGUGCAUGGUUGUCGUCAGCUCGUGUCGUGAGAUGUUGGGUUAAGUCCCGCAACGAGCGCAACCCUUAUCCUUAGUAGCCAGCAGGGAAAGCUGGGCACUCUAGGGAGACUGCCAGGGAUAACCUGGAGGAAGGUGGGGAUGACGUCAAAUCAUCAUGCCCCUUAUGAUUUGGGCUACACACGUGCUACAAUGGCGUAAACAAAGGGAAGCGAAGUGGCGACAUGGAGCGAACCCCAAAAAUAACGUCUCAGUUCGGAUUGCAGGCUGCAACCCGCCUGCAUGAAGCCGGAAUCGCUAGUAAUCGCAGAUCAGAAUGCUGCGGUGAAUACGUUCCCGGGUCUUGUACACACCGCCCGUCACACCAUGGGAGUCGAUAACGCCCGAAGUCAGUGACCCAACCGAAAGGAGGGAGCUGCCGAAGGCGGGAUGGAUAACUGGGGUGAAGUCGUAACAAGGUAGCCGUAUCGGAAGGUG